rnacentral:rRNA from 1 species
GAUGAACGCUGACAGAAUGCUUAACACAUGCAAGUCGAUGGGGAAGUGGUGCUUGCACCAUGGCAACCAUGGCGGACGGGUGAGUAACGCGUAAGGGACUUACCUGCAGGACUGGGAUAACAGGGGGAAACUCCUGACAAGACCGGAUAAUGUCAUGGAGCUGCAUGGCUUUAUGAUGAAAGGAGACGCCUGCGGAGAGCCUUGCGUCCUAUUAGCUAGUUGGUGAGGUAAUGGCUCACCAAGGCGAAGAUAGGUAGCCGGCCUGAGAGGGUGGACGGCCACGAGGGGACUGGGAUACGGCCCUUACUACUACGGGAGGCAGCAGUGAGGAAUAUUGGACAAUGGGGGCAACCCUGAUCCAGCUAUUCUGUGUGCACGAAGAAGGUUUUCGGAUUGUAAAGUGCUUUCAGCAGGGAAGAAGUAAGUGACGGUACCUACAGAAGAAGCGACGGCUAAAUACGUG